CUAUAACCUGCUCUGAGUAAUGAAUAGGAGAGAAAAAUUUUGUGAAAUCAAGCUAGCUUGGCAUAAAUCUUUUAUUAUAAAGGAAGGAUCAGGGCUUCCUUGAGUGAGCUUUGCUAAUUUUCAGCACUUUUUCUCAAGGAGGAGUGCUUCUAAGUGUCAGAAACCUGUUAUCACCAAACAACUUUAAUAGAGGGUGAGUGACUAAACUUUGUUGGAUGCAGCUUGGAGAUAGUAUUAUCUCCCGUCUUACAUAAACCCUCAAAUAAAAUAAAUAAAAGCCAGUCAGAUGAUGUACUCUGAUCAAUAAAAUAUGCUCUAGCAUGAAAAAAAAUUAAAACCUAAAGUUUUCAGUCUCCUACCCAUUUAACUAUAGAUACUAAUUUUGAUUAAAACAUUUGAUUUGGAGACGCUAUUAACAGAAUAAGAAAUGAAUCAUUAAAAAUUAUUAAAUGUACUCAUAUGGAACAUCAACAAAUCUAUUCCAUAAAUGCCUAGACUCAAAACUAUGAUGAAUUGACUUCAUUGCAAUGCAGAUUUCCAAAGAGAAUGCCUUUUUCUCCUUGUUGACAAUAAAAGUAAGAUAAAUAAGUCAGUCAGAUUCUGGCUUUACCAUCUUAUAACGGUACAGAGUGUGGUCUUAUACAGAAAACACAUUGUUUCUUUUAGUCAUCAAGAAUCCAUUUUAGAGGUAGUUAUAAAAUGUUUACAAAAUUCCUGCAAAAAUUACACUAGGCACUUGUAAAUAAUAAGGUGUUUACUGCAAGUCCUUUGCCUCUUAUGUGUCCAUGAUUCUAUUCAGCAUCCUACUUUGCAGACCUUUCAAACAAGUAAGUAUAUUGUAAGUUAUCUAUUGCAUAAGAAAUGUAUGCCACUCCCUCACAAGCAACACACACACAGAGGCACUUGCUUAUUUUCACUGGGCAAUAAAACCUCUUGGAGCGAAUUUCUGCUUUGGAUUAUUAUGAGAGUUUAUUCUAACUCAACGUUUUCCACUUCCACAGAAAUAUUUAAUAGUGACAUUUCCUGCCUUCUCCUGCUCAUCAGAUUUCUGCUGUCAGUAUACAAGAGGAGCUAUUCUACUUCCUAGUCCCCUCUUACUAAAGAAAUCAACAGAACUUAUAUACCUUAUGAUUUCUACACAUUUCCAUAUAUCAGAAUAAUGUCAAGUCACAUUGAUAAAUCCCUUUUAGUAAUAGGUGAGGGCAUAAUUCUGCAUUAUUCUGUAGUUUCCGAUGUUUAUGAACUUGAAUUACUUUUUUUUUUUUUUUCCUUCUCCCUUGAGGUGUGAGUGGCACAACUGAGGAAAGAGAGAUGGUCCAGACAAGCUGAGGUUUUUCUACUGAGGACUCAGGAGAAACAACAGUUUGGAGCAUUACAAUUAAGAGCUGAGCUUUUGGUUCAGAGGAUUUGUUGCCAAGGAGCCUCAACAGACUGGAAAAAAAUCACUUCCAGUGCAAUGAGAACACCUCAGUGAGCUGGACUUCUUCCUGAAGACCUUGAAAAAAUGCCAGGAGGUACUUCCAAGCAAAAUGUUUGCAUUAAGGAUGCCUGCAGCUGAUUGUUGGAAGAUUUGGAACUAGGAUUGCAACCAUGCUUGUUUUUGUUGUGUUGACAUCUACUUUGAGAUUUAACUUUUUAAGGAAGAAAGAUAGCCCAUUUGAACCAUUUUGGCAAAAUCAAGUCUUCAGGACUUAUCUGCACUCUGCAGUGUGGUAUAGAUUAAUUUUACCUGUGUCAGGAAACCUUUACCACCACUGUUUUACUGGUUUUAUCUUGUUCUAGUUGUGUCUUUGGUUUUUUUACUAGCAUAGCAUAAAUCCUGCAUAUGUUUUCCAGUAAUCUGCCUAUAUGAAUUCUUCUUAUUUUAAUAAAAACUCCAUAUAUCAUCAGCUUAAGCUGCUGAUGCUUCAAGAGUCCUGUAAUAUUUACCUUUCAUGAUAUUCUCCAGUUUUCUAAGUGAACUGUUUUCUCUCUGAGUGAAAACUGAGGCUUUCGCACCCUGGUAACGUAACUGGAUUUACCUUUGCAGUUGAGAGCACCUGAACUGGCUAUAUUUUGUAAGCUUGGACAAUUUCCUACACAUCUUGUAAGGAAUCUUAAUUCUCACUUUGUUUGCUUAGGGGCUUUUUCUCCCUUUUAGUUUAUUGGGUUUUGCUUGUUAAUUUUCAGUUAAAAUCCAUAUUUUUGAUACUUGAAACCUUUUGCAGGAAGGCUAAAAAGUCAAAAUUUUUAAAGCAUUUUAAGUAACCAUUAAUAUUAAAAUAUCUCACAACAUAAAGAAUAAAGAAAUGUAGCAGUUGGUCAGGUCUAGGUAAUAAAACUGACUUCAGGGAUACUUCAGAAAAUUGUGUGUUGAAAAGGUUAUUUCUCUGUAUAUAACUUUGUUUCAGAUAUGUGUACUACUGUGGUUUCCUUUCUUGAUGUUUCUACCAGUGCAUGGUGGCAGGUACUAACAGACAAGAUCUGUAAAAUGAAUAUAUAAAUAACUGUAACACUUGUAACCUUUCAUCAGUCACAAAAUUGUUCCUUGGUAUUACUUUCUGCUUCUCAAGGAUGCUCGGACAGUUUGCUCUUUCUUUCUACAGUUUCAGAAGCUGACCUUUAGACUGUCAAGUUUUGAACUUCACAAGCAGUUUUAAUCUUGUAAAUACUCUUACAGGCAAAAAUAUGACUGACACUUUACAGCCUGAUCUUUCUCCAUUGAUGAAGAACAUAAAUGUGAGGAAUUGUAGAAUUAGAUAAUAAAAAUGAAACCCUCAUGUCUUUUUCAAAUAGUCCCGAUUGCCUGUUGUGAAAAAAAUAAUAACAAUCACCUAUAUUUUUUUUUUAUCUUUUACUCAUAAUAGCAAAGAAAUGUCGAAAAGAAGUGGUGGAUCAUAUGUGAAACGCUAAAACUUGAGAGCACUUUCACAAGAUGCAAAGAGCAGCAUCGACAUGCCACUAGGUGGUUCUCUUUCCUUCUUGAUUCACCCCAUUGGCUUUGUCAGGCACUCUUCAGAAAGGUCCCCUGAGAACGGUGAGCACCCGUGUGCACUGCGGGGUCCUGGCCAUUUCAGCAGGUGCUGAGACAACCCAAUGUCCAGCCUCUGGCAGAACCAACACCGAAGUAUUCACUGUCUUAAAAAGAGGGAGCAAUUUAGAAACCAAUCUUCAGAGCAGGCAGCUGAAGAUUAGUGUACGUGGGGUGGGGUUUUGUGUUAAGAUCCUUGUUAAA